rnacentral:ncRNA from 1 species
CAGUAGUGGGGCAGUUUUAUCUGGUAAAGUGAAUGAUUAGAAGUCUUGGGGCUGAAGCAGUCUCAACCUAUUCUCAAACUUGCAAUGGAUAAGAUGCCCAGCUCACAGGCAUGGAGCUGAGCCAUGGAAUACUG